rnacentral:lncRNA from 1 species
GAGGAUGAUAGUGUUAUUUUGAUGAUUAACAAGCAAUUAUCUAGAGUAUGUUAUAAGUUAAAUCGAUACUACAUUCUUAAGUCUGUUACUCUCAGUAUAUUUGUUUAAAUUGAUAUAGAUACAUUUCAUUGUUUAUUUGAAUGAAUCUAACCUUGAGAUGCAGCAAAGUGUGGAUUGAGUCGACCCAAAGGAUGAUUGGGUCGACCCCGGCACAUCAAGAAAUUAUUUGGCACACUUCUGCAAAAAUGGCACAGAUGAACAGUGUGUUGGGUCGACCCAAGGAAAGCAUGAGUCGACCCAAACAUCAAGAU